GCAGUCGAGCGGCAGCGGAAAGUAGCUUGCUACUUUGCCGGCGAGCGGCGGACGGGUGAGUAAUGUCUGGGAAACUGCCUGAUGGAGGGGGAUAACUACUGGAAACGGUGGCUAAUACCGCAUAACGUCGCAAGACCAAAGUGGGGGACCUUCGGGCCUCACGCCAUCGGAUGUGCCCAGAUGGGAUUAGCUAGUAGGUGGGGUAAUGGCUCACCUAGGCGACGAUCCCUAGCUGGUCUGAGAGGAUGACCAGCCACACUGGAACUGAGACACGGUCCAGACUCCUACGGGAGGCAGCAGUGGGGAAUAUUGCACAAUGGGCGCAAGCCUGAUGCAGCCAUGCCGCGUGUGUGAAGAAGGCCUUCGGGUUGUAAAGCACUUUCAGCGAGGAGGAAGGCAUCACACUUAAUACGUGUGGUGAUUGACGUUACUCGCAGAAGAAGCACCGGCUAACUCCGUGCCAGCAGCCGCGGUAAUACGGAGGGUGCAAGCGUUAAUCGGAAUUACUGGGCGUAAAGCGCACGCAGGCGGUUUGUUAAGUCAGAUGUGAAAUCCCC
rnacentral:rRNA from 1 species